CAGCAGCAUGUUCCAGUGCUCCAACCGAUCCUAGGAUGCAAAUCAACCUGCUAUCAGCUGGCCAACACUCAACAGGAGCUUGACGAUCUCAAGGAGAAGCUUCUUCCAUCUGAGCCUACUGCCUACACCCUGGACAAGCAGCUACCAAAACACUGAAAGUUCUGCAGAUCCUGGAUGAACGGCUGCCACAACCAUCAGCACAGCAGCAUGUUCCAGUGCUCCAACAGAUCCUAGGAUGCAAAUCAACCUGCUAUCAGCUGGCCAACACUCAACAGGAGCUUGACGAUCUCAAGGAGAAGCUUCUUCCAUCUGAGCCUACUGCCUACACCCUGGACAAGCAGCUACCAAAACACUGAAAGUUCUGCAGAUCCUGGAUGAACGGCUGCCACAACCAUCAGCACAGCAGCAUGUUCCAGUGCUCCAACAGAUCCUAGGAUGCAAAUCAACCUGCUAUCAGCUGGCCAACACUCAACAGGAGCUUGACGAUCUCAAGGAGAAGCUUCUUCCAUCUGAGCCUACUGCCUACACCCUGGACAAGCAGCUACCAAAACACUGAAAGUUCUGCAGAUCCUGGAUGAACGGCUGCCACAACCAUCAGCACAGCAGCAUGUUCCAGUGCUCCAACAGAUCCUAGGAUGCAAAUCAACCUGCUAUCAGCUGGCCAACACUCAACAGGAGCUUGACGAUCUCAAGGAGAAGCUUCUUCCAUCUGAGCCUACUGCCUACACCCUGGACAAGCAGCUACCAAAACACUGAAAGUUCUGCAGAUCCUGGAUGAACGGCUGCCACAACCAUCAGCACAGCAGCAUGUUCCAGUGCUCCAACAGAUCCUAGGAUGCAAAUCAACCUGCUAUCAGCUGGCCAACACUCAACAGGAGCUUGACGAUCUCAAGGAGAAGCUUCUUCCAUCUGAGCCUACUGCCUACACCCUGGACAAGCAGCUACCAAAACACUGAAAGUUCUGCAGGUGCUGGGUGAUUGUC